GAGCGUGGAUGGUUUCACUACCUGGCCUUUGCUCAGGCCUUUUGGAGUCUAUUUGAUAACCCAGAGAUACAUCAGUUUUAUUUCCCCCUUUUCUUUGCUUUUCUCUUUUGACUUUUCUGUUUUGUGUCCUGUUAGGGGUUUUUUAAUAGCCUCCGAACUGAACUUGCAGAAUACCCGGGUAUAGUAGUUUCUACCGUUUGCCCUGGACCUGUGCAUUCACGUGUGGUGGAAAAUGCCAUGGCUGAAGAUGUCACAAAGGUUGUGGGCAGUGUCAGAGGCCAGUCCGACAAGAUGGCAACCAGUCGUUGUGUGCGGCUGAUGUUAAUCACCAUGGCCAAUGAUUUGAAAGAGGUUUGGAUUUCAGAGCAACCAUUUCUGCUGGUAACAUAUUUGUGGCAAUAUAUGCCAACCUGGGCCUGGUGGCUAAGCAACAAGUUAGGAAAGGAGAGGUUUCUGGUAAGAGCAAUUUAUAUAUUUCUUAGUAAUACGUAUCAAUCUUAAAUUAUAAAAUCUUCAGCUUCUUAGAACACUUUCUUGCUAAUUCUCCCCCAAUCUCACCAUAUAAAAAUAAAAAGUAUGCAAAGUAUUCUAUCCCCAUAGGUAUCUGAUGUGUUACUGUAAAUGAUCACUAGUCUUGGAGAAAUCACUUUGCAGUCGAAAGACUGACAUUGAUUCUCUCCCACUUAACCUCUGACCGAUGUAUGUGUCGCCACAGUGGCCUUUCCCCAUUG
rnacentral:lncRNA from 1 species